ensembl:snoRNA SNORA71 Small nucleolar RNA SNORA71
UCCUGUAUCGAAAGUGGUCAUGGCAUCUCUGUUGCCAGGUCAUUGAUAGUACAGGAACAACAAACUGAGAUCUUUCCCGUGUUCAAAGGAUGACAUGUUCCUUUUUGAACCCUGGUGCUCUCAAACA